rnacentral:lncRNA from 1 species
UUGGGUAUAAAUUCAAAGUUAUUUUCUUUCUUGGGGAUUAACUUGAGGCUUGUUCAAGUAAUCCAAAUACAUUGUUCUUCAUUUAUUCCAUUGAAAUCAUUUCUUCCUCAUUUUCUUGUUCUUCAAGUGGUUUGGAAUUUUUCACAUUGUCAAGCUUUGUUUGAUCUUGGGCUAUCUUUGGGAGGUGUUUUCCCAACAC